rnacentral:rRNA from 1 species
GACGAACGCUGGCGGCGUGCUUAACACAUGCAAGUCGAGCGGAAAGGCCCUUCGGGGUACUCGAGCGGCGAACGGGUGAGUGACACGUGAGUAACCUGCCCUAGUCUCUGGGAUAACCCUCGGAAACGGGGGCUAAUACCCGAUACUCCUUCUAAAUCGCUUGAUUUGGUUGGGAAAGGUUUUCGGUCUUGGAUGGGCUCGCGGCCUAUCAGCUUGUUGGUGGGGUAAUGGCCUACCAAGGCGAGGACGGGUAGCCGGCCUGAGGGGGCGACCGGCCACACUGGGACUGAGACACGGCCCAGACUCCUACGGGAGGCAGCAGUGGGGAAUAUUGCACAAUGGGCGGAAGCCUGAUGCAGCGACGCCGCGUGAGGGAUGACGGCCUUCGGGUUGUAAACCUCUUUCAGCAGGGACGAAGCGUAAGUGACGGUACCUGCAGAAGAAGCGCCGGCUAACUACGUG